UACGGAGGAUGCGAGCGUUAUCCGGAUUUAUUGGGUUUAAAGGGUGCGCAGGCGGUCUGUUAAGUCAGCAGUCAAAGCCCGGGGCUCAACCCCGACAAGCCGUUGAAACUGGCUUGCUAGAGUGGGCGAGAAGUAUGCGGAAUGCGUGGUGUAGCGGUGAAAUGCAUAGAUAUCGCGCAGAACUCCGAUUGCGAAGGCAGCAUGCCGGCUCCACACUGACGCUGAGGCACGAAAGCGUGGGUAUCGAACAGG
rnacentral:rRNA from 1 species